AGAGUUUGAUCCUGGCUCAGAAUGAACGCUGGCGGCGCGCCUAAUACAUGCAAGUCGAGCGAGAAGACGUAGCAAUACGUUUGUAAAGCGGCGAACGGGUGAGGAAUACAUGGGUAACCUACCCUCGAGUGGGGAAUAACUAGCCGAAAGGUUAGCUAAUACCGCGUACGCUCCUUGGACUUCGGUUCAGGGAGGAAAGCGAUACCGAGGGUAUCGCGCUCUUGGAUGGGCUCAUGUCCUAUCAGCUUGUUGGUGAGGUAACGGCUCACCAAGGCUUCGACGGGUAGCUGGUCUGAGAGGACGAUCAGCCACACUGGCACUGCGACACGGGCCAGACUCCUACGGGAGGCAGCAGUAAGGAAUAUUGCGCAAUGGGCGAAAGCCUGACGCAGCGACGCCGCGUGGGGGAUGAAGGUCUUCGGAUUGUAAACCCCUUUCGGGAGGGAAGAUGGAACGAGCAAUCGUUCGGACGUACCUCCAGAAGCAGCCCCU
rnacentral:rRNA from 1 species